AUACUUACCUGGCACAGGGGAUACCGUGAUCACGAAGGCGGUUCCCCCAGGUCGAGGCCUUCCCAUUGCACUUCGGUGGGCUGACGCUUGCGAUCACCCCAAAUGUGGGUGACUCGGGUGCGUAAUUUUUACUCAGGGGGACUGCGUUCGCGCUAUCCCCUA